CAGUCGCCACGGGAAUACGUAGGGUGCGAGCGUUAAUCGGAAUUACUGGGCGUAAAGCGUGCGCAGGCGGUUGCGUAAGACAGGUGUGAAAUCCCCGGGCUUAACCUGGGAACUGCGCUUGUGACUGCACAGCUAGAGUAUGGCAGAGGGGGGUGGAAUUCCACGUGUAGCAGUGAAAUGCGUAGAUAUGCGGAGGAACACCGAUGGCGAAGGCAGCCCCCUGGGCCAACACUGACGCUCAUGCACGAAAGCGUGGGGAGCAAACAGGAUUAGAUACCCGCGUAGUCCCUGUCUCUUAUAC
rnacentral:rRNA from 1 species